GAAUGUCGAGCUGUUGUAGUAAGGGAGAAGAGAAAAGUGAGGAAGAAGUGAUUGAGAUUAGCAGUGAUGAAGAAGAGGUAAGUGAGAAUGAAGAGCUUGGUGAAGAAGAGAAAGAAGAAGAGGGAUUGGAAGAAGCUGAGAAAAGAAGGGAUAGUCAUAAUGGGCAGAUGAGAGAAUUAUUUAGACAUAUGACUACAGUUCCUAUGGAAGAAAUUCAUCCUCAAAUUCCUGUUGAUACAAAGAAAAGUAAUUACAUUGGAGAGGUGAUAGAACUUGAUGCAGAAGAUGAAGAACAGGAAG
rnacentral:lncRNA from 1 species